rnacentral:rRNA from 1 species
ACGGACGGUCAGUUGAUCUGACUCAGGAUCACUCGUGUUACACUGCAAUCGCGUGUCGCCCUUAGAGUUUGAUCCUGGCUCAGGAUGAACGCUGGCGGCGUGCCUAAUACAUGCAAGUCGAACGAGGUGCCUUUGUAGCAAUACGAGGGUAUCCUAGUGGCGAACGGGUGAGUAACGCGUUGGUGACCUGCCCCGAAGUGUGGGAUAACAGUCCGAAAGGACUGCUAAUACCGCAUGCGGCCAUCGGGUUUAGAAACCGAUGUCCAAAGCAGCAAUGCGCUUUGGGAGGGACCUGCGUCCCAUCAGCUAGUUGGUAGGGUAACGGCCUACCAAGGCGACGACGGGUAGGGGACCUGAGAGGGUGACCCCCCACAAUGGAACUGAAAUACGGUCCAUACACCUACGGGUGGCAGCAGUAGGGAAUAUUGCACAAUGGGCGAAAGCCUGAUGCAGCAACGCCGCGUGCACGAUGAAGGUCUUCGGAUCGUAAAGUGCUUUUCUGGGAGAUGAGAAAGGACAGUAUCCCAGGAAUAAGUCUCGGCUAACUACGUGCCAGCAGCCGCGGUAAAACGUAGGAGGCAAGCGUUAUCCGGAUUCACUGGGCGUAAAGCGCGUGCAGGCGGCUCGGUAAGUUGGGCGUGAAAUCUCCUGGCUUAACUAGGAGAGGCCGUCCAAUACUACCGGGCUAGAGAGCAGUAGAGGAAGAUGGAAUUCCCGGUGUAGUGGUGAAAUGCGUAGAUAUCGGGAGGAACACCAGUGGCGAAGGCGAUCUUCUGGACUGUUUCUGACGCUCAGACGCGAAAGCUAGGGUAGUAAACGGGAUUAGAGACCCCGGUAAUCCUAGCCGUAAACGAUGUGAACUUGGCGUCGGUAGCUUAAACACUAUCGGUGCCGUAGCAAACGCGAUAAGUUCACCGCCUGGGGACUACGAUUGCAAGAUUAAAACUCAAAGGAAUUGACGGGGGCCCGCACAAGCAGCGGAGCGUGUGGUUUAAUUCGAUGCUACACGAAGAACCUUACCUGGGCUUGACAUGCAAGUGGUAGGGAUCCGAAAGGUGACCGACCCGCCAAGGGAGCUUGCACAGGUGUUGCAUGGCUGUCGUCAGCUCGUGUCGUGAGAUGUUCGGUUAAGUCCGCUAACGAGCGCAACCCUUGCUGUAUGUUACAUGUGUCAUACGGGACCGCCGGUAUUAAGCCGGAGGAAGGUGGGGAUGACGUCAAGUCAGCAUGGCCUUUAUGUCCAGGGCUACACACACGCUACAAUGGGCAGUACAAUGGGUCGCUAAGCCGCGAGGUGGAGCCAAUCCCCAAAGCUGUCCUCAGUUCAGAUCGCAGGCUGCAACCCGCCUGCGUGAAGUCGGAGUUGCUAGUAAAUGCGCGUCAGCUAUAGCGCAUUGAAUACGUUCUCGGGCCUUGUACACACCGCCCGUCACGUCAUGGGAGCUGGUAACACCUGAAGCCGGUAGUCUAACCGCAAGGAGGACGCCGUCGAAGGUGGUGCUGGUGACUGGGACGAAGUCGUAACAAGGUAACCAAGGGCGACACGCGAUUGCAGUCUUGAGUCCAC